CUUCAUCUCCUAGUUAGCUGGGACCGUCCCUCCACAGGACGGUUGAAUUCAUUUGACUCACAUGAAAAAAAAUACUUGCUGAUAGCCUGAUAGAUAACACUUCAGCACAGCUAAGUGAAGUUUC
rfam:Bos taurus Ctg24.CH240-411F24, whole genome shotgun sequence.